rnacentral:rRNA from 1 species
GACGAACGCUGGCGGCGUGCCUAAUACAUGCAAGUCGAACGCUGAAGAGAGGAGCUUGCUCUUCUUGGAUGAGUUGCGAACGGGUGAGUAACGCGUAGGUAACCUGCCUUGUAGCGGGGGAUAACUAUUGGAAACGAUAGCUAAUACCGCAUAACAAUGGAUGACACAUGUCAUUUAUUUGAAAGGGGCAAUUGCUCCACUACAAGAUGGACCUGCGUUGUAUUAGCUAGUAGGUGAGGUAAUGGCUCACCUAGGCGACGAUACAUAGCCGACCUGAGAGGGUGGUCGGCCACCCUGGGACUGGGACACGGCCCAGACUCCUACGGGAGGCAGCAGUAGGGAAUCUUCGGCAAUGGGGGCAACCCUGACCGAGCAACGCCGCGUGAGUGAAGAAGGUUUUCGGAUCGUAAAGCUCUGUUGUAAGUCAAGAACGGGUGUGAGAGUGGAAAGUUCACACUGUGACGGUAGCUUACCAGAAAGGGACGGCUAACUACGUG